UACGAAGGGGGCUAGCGUUGUUCGGAAUUACUGGGCGUAAAGCGUGCGCAGGCGGCUUCUCAAGUCAGGGGUGAAAGCCCAGAGCUCAACUCUGGAAUUGCCUUUGAGACUGAGUGGCUUGAGUACGAGAGAGGUGAGUGGAAUUCCCAGUGUAGAGGUGAAAUUCGUAGAUAUCGUCAGGAACGCCAAUGGUGAAGACAGGUGACUGGGCUAGUUCUGACACUGAGGCACGAAAGCGUGGGGAUCAAACGGG
rnacentral:rRNA from 1 species